UCCUGACCCUUUUCUUUUUCUUCGUUCUCUUUCGGCGAGCCCUUGGAUUUCCCGGCUCUUUAUCGCUCUGUGGUCUUGCUUUCCAUUUCAAUGCUCUACCUGUUAGCCUCCUCCCUCGCCGUCCUUGUCGUUUCCCAUUUUUGUUUUGUUUGCUUCCUUUUUUUUCUCUUGAUGAUCUUAGUGGCGUUCCUGCACUCAUUUUCUUGGACUGCAUUUUUCUUCCUAUUAUGGAUGAUAGGCUCAUGGUUUUUUCUGAAUUUUUUUUGCCCAGGAAUCUGCCGCCUUCUUUCUACUGCGCUCUUGGGGGUUCGAGGGCUUCUGGCCCUUCCUGUUGCUGUUUACUUCAGCCCAAUUUCCUCAGCAAUCAGGAUCUCAGAGCCAGAGUCUUGACCCUGCCCAAAAGACUACAGUGAUCACUGCAUCAAGUGGUUCUGAAUGCGCACUAUCUGAAUCCAGCAAGCUUCCUGAAACAUCUGAAAGCAAAUUGCCUUCAACUCCACCCUCACUUGUGGGAUUACAGAAAGCACAUACUCCCGACCCAAAGACCACAAGGACCAAGCGUUCAGCUGAACACACAUCUGGAAGCCACCAAGAAAUUGAUCCAAAGGAAACCCGUACAUCAACCAAAAAAAAUUCCAAGAGGCAGCUAGACUUCAUCGAUCCAGAUGAACAACACUAGGUGAUGAUAACCAUGAAAUAGACGAAGACAAAUCAUUUUGCAAAUGAACCUGGUAGAAUCGUGCCAGCACAUAGUACUGUCUGGCAUUGCACGAUGACCUCUACUCCUCUCUCUCAUGUAAAUUAAAUACACUGAUGAUGCCUCCCUAUAGACGCAUCACUAUAUGUGCACUAGACGAAAGGCUGUUAUUUUGCCAAUGGAUCUGGGACAACUAUAGUAGGGCAUAAUACUGUCUGCCGCUGCACGACCACCUGCGUAGCUCUGUCUUAUGUAAAUUAAACAACGACAAUGGCUUCUUAGCCGCUCCACUAUGUAACUGAUGACUGAAGUCACUUCCAUAUGUAUUAAGUAAUUAUGCUACUAUCUAUGUGUUUGCCC